GGGGGGGGCAAGCGUUGUUCGGAAUUACUGGGCGUAAAGGGCGCGCAGGCGGGCGAGACAGUCUCUCGUGAAAUCCCACGGCUCAACCGUGGAAUUGCGGGAGAUACUACUCGUCUUGAGUCCGGGAGAGGAGAGCGGAAUUCCCAGUGUAGCGGUGAAAUGCGUAGAUAUUGGGAGGAACACCAGUGGCGAAGGCGGCUCUCUGGACCGGUACUGACGCUGAGGCGCGAAAGCUAGGGGAGCAAACGGGGAUUAGAUACCCCGGUAGUCCUAGCCGUAAACGAUGAGCACUUGGUGUAGCGGGUAUCGACCCCGUGCUGUGCCGAAGCUAACGCAUUAAGUGCUCCGCCUGGGGAGUACGGUCGCAAGGCUG
rnacentral:rRNA from 1 species